rnacentral:rRNA from 1 species
UAAGAGCUUGCUCUUAUGAAGUUAGCGGCGGACGGGUGAGUAACACGUGGGUAACCUGCCCAUAAGACUGGGAUAACUCCGGGAAACCGGGGCUAAUACCGGAUAACAUUUUGAACCGCAUGGUUCGAAAUUGAAAGGCGGCUUCGGCUGUCACUUAUGGAUGGACCCGCGUCGCAUUAGCUAGUUGGUGAGGUAACGGCUCACCAAGGCAACGAUGCGUAGCCGACCUGAGAGGGUGAUCGGCCACACUGGGACUGAGACACGGCCCAGACUCCUACGGGAGGCAGCAGUAGGGAAUCUUCCGCAAUGGACGAAAGUCUGAC